UCCUAAAAUCCUGAUUCCUAAUGCCCACACUGUAGAGCUCCUCUGUAGCCCCGACUCAGGCCUCAGUAUCUUUUUGCUGCUCCACAGAACCUCGGUGUCCAGUAAGGCAGGUGGUGCUCAUCUGCGUUGUAACCUAUGUGAAUGAGGCCUCCUCUAAGCAACAUGAGUCUACACACCCUGUACAGCUGUACACAGCAGGCCUGCCUGUGGGCAUUUCCUAACUCUACAAAGGAAAUAUCCUGAAAACCUUGUUGUGGACCUUAGUGAGACUAGAUGUUCUCCCUUCAGAAAUCCUGACACUUUCUCUGCUCCUGUCCCGGAGGAACGCUGCUCUGAGUUCAUCCUGUGAGGAAGCUAACUAGUGGACAAGGAGCAGCGCUGUAGAAGAGAUCCAGGAAUCCCAGCCGACUGCACCAACUCCAGACUUUGAGUGUAUCUUGGAUAUUUCAGGUAAUGAUGUACCUUGCGUAUUAGACUCUCGGGUUUUUUUAAACACCACCUUUCUCUCCUCUAUAACAGAAUUACUUUCAAUAGAAAUGAAUAAAUUAUAAUUUUAUUGAUAGUAGUUUUAAAACAAGCAAUUGGAAAUUAAAACUAUGCAUAUCAAAUCCAAAGAUAAUCAAAUAGAGCAAAAUAUUUUGUGUAUGGAUUAAAAAUUGUGUCUCCCAAACAAAAAUAUUAUACCUGACACUUCUUACUUUGCCUCACCUUCAACAAACUUGUGUAUAAAUAAAAUCUCCAAGAGGUCAGUGGACAAUGAUUGUAAAAAACAAGGAAACAGAACUUGAUAUCACUGUUAAUUUCAAACCUUAAAAGAGUAUGCAGUACACAGGGUUGGAGAAUACAAACUGCAUACAAGGAAGCCUUGAAAAAUAAUUCCUAAAUCAUGAACUUAUUCUUAAACAUGUGUAGAUGACACUGUGUAAGUUGAGGCACCAGUUGUAGUGAAUUCUCCAAAUUAACUUCCCAGUAGAAUGCAAUGUUUAUUAAAGGAUAAGUAAUAAAAUAGACUAAUUUGAAUCUUGUGUGCAUAUUAUUAAAACUCAA